UUGGAGGGCAAGUCUGGUGCCAGCAGCCGCGGUAAUUCCAGCUCCAAUAGCGUAUAUUAAAGUUGUUGCAGUUAAAAAGCUCGUAGUUGAAUUUCGGGAUUGACGUGAUGGUCAUGCCUUAAGGGGUAUGAACUGUCACUGUUGAUUUCUCACCUUCUGGAGAAACUUGAUGUCCUUUAUUGGGUGUCUUGCGGAUCCAGGACCUUUACCUUGAAAAAAUUAGAGUGUUUAAAGCAGGCAUUCUUGCUCGAAUACAUUAGCAUGGAAUAAUAGAAUAGGACGGCGUGGUUCUAUUUUGUUGGUUUCUAGGAUCACCGUAAUGAUUAAUAGGGAUAGUUGGGGGCAUUAGUAUUCAAUUGUCAGAGGUGAAAUUCUUGGAUUUAUUGAAGACUAACUACUGCGAAAGCAUUUGCCAAGGAUGUUUUCAUUAAUCAAGAGCGAAAGUUAGGGGAUCGAAGACGAUCAGAUACCGUCGUAGUCUUAACCAUAAACUAUGCCGACUAGGAAUCAGACGAUGUUAAUUUUUUAAUGACUCGUUUGGCACCUUACGGGAAACCAAAGUGUUUGGGUUC
rnacentral:rRNA from 1 species